UACGUAGGGGGCUAGCGUUGUCCGGAAUCAUUGGGCGUAAAGCGCGUGUAGGCGGUUCGGUAAGUCCGCUGUGAAAGUCGGGGGCUCAACCCUCGGAUGCCGGUGGAUACUGUCGAGCUCGAGUACGGAAGAGGCGAGUGGAAUUCCUGGUGUAGCGGUGAAAUGCGCAGAUAUCAGGAGGAACACCGGUGGCGAAGGCGGGUCUCUGGGCCGUAACUGACGCUGAGGAGCGAAAGCGUGGGGAGCGAACAGG
rnacentral:rRNA from 1 species